UCCUGUGCACCGUGUGAGAGACCUUAGUCUUAAAGGAGACCAAACCCGCGGUAAUGUGGGGAGAGAGGAAAAUCCUCCUAAGGGAGGCAUGCAAGGGGACAGACAGGACAGCACCACCAGAGUGCUCUUCAGAACCACAAUUCCGAUUGGGAAGAGAUAUCAGAAUUUGCUGGUGAAUUGGUUCAGGAAGCAACGUGAGGGCCCUUUUGUUCCAUCCGAGGUGAUCAAGGUGAAAAACGUUGAUAAUUCGGAAGCCCUUCAUCUCC